GACGUAGGGCGCGAGCGUUGUCCGGAUUUAUUGGGCGUAAAGAGCUCGUAGGCGGCUUGUUGCGUCGACCGUGAAAACCCGGGGCUCAACUUCGGGCUUGCGGUCGAUACGGGCGGGCUAGAGUUCGGUAGGGGAGACUGGAAUUCCUGGUGUAGCGGUGAAAUGCGCAGAUAUCAGGAGGAACACCGGUGGCGAAGGCGGGUCUCUGGGCCGAAAUUGACGCUGAGGAGCGAAAGCGUGGGGAGCAAACAGG
rnacentral:rRNA from 1 species